ensembl:snRNA
GAAAAGGGCUUUUGUGGUGAGUGACACAUGCAGGGAAGCUCAUUUGCUCCAAAAUCAAGAGGUUUUGGAAGCAUAAUUUUUGUCGUUUGGGCAGCUGGUGAUUGUUGGUCCCGGCACCCUA